AUGGAUGGUCAAGUACAAUUAGUGGCUAUUUGCUCCAUCUGUAAGCUUGCGAUCUGCACUGCAUUGCGCUGUGUAAACGGGUUUAACUGCACAGCUAUCAAAUUAAACCUUGUUAGCGCAAGUAUGCUCAGUGCUCUUUAUAGGCUUGUAUUCUCAGCCAUAAACAGGAGACCAGACUACUGACAAUUCAUUCUUCACACACACAUGAAGCCAUCUGAGAGACUAGAGACCGAGGGGCUUCGUUCAGUAGUUAUCCGUGCAGACCAUCUAAAUGGGGCCCACAGUCCUCUUCCCUGUCUAUUUUUAGCUUGGUGACAACAGGUGAUAUAUUUCCCUUCUGAUCUAUAUCUGGAGUUAUUUGGCUAAAAAUAGACGUGGUCACCGGCGUGGCGAGAUAUGGGUAGUAACAGCACAGGUACGUGGGGAGAUAUAGGUGGUAACAGCACAGGUACGUGGUCACAGGCGUGGGGGGAUAUAGGUAGUAACAGCACAGGUACGUGGUC
ensembl:lncRNA